AUUGAACGCUGGCGGCAUGCUUUACACAUGCAAGUCGAACGGUAACAGGCCGCAAGGUGCUGACGAGUGGCGAACGGGUGAGUAAUGCAUCGGAACGUGCCCAGUCGUGGGGGAUAACGCAGCGAAAGCUGCGCUAAUACCGCAUACGAUCUAUGGAUGAAAGCGGGGGACCGUAAGGCCUCGCGCGAUUGGAGCGGCCGAUGUCAGAUUAGGUAGUUGGUGGGGUAAAGGCUCACCAAGCCAACGAUCUGUAGCUGGUCUGAGAGGACGGCCAGCCACACUGGGACUGAGACACGGCCCAGACUCCUACGGGAGGGAGCGGUGGGGAAUUUUGGACGAUGGGCGCAAGCCUGAUCCAGCAAUGCCGCGUGCAGGAAGAAGGCCUGCGGGUUGUAAACUGCUUUUGUACGGAACGAAACGGUCCUGGUUAAUACCUGGGGCUAAUGACGGUACCGUAAGAAUAAGCACCGGCUAACUACGUGCCAGCAGGCGCAGUAACAC
rnacentral:rRNA from 1 species